UGGGGAAUUUUGGACAAUGGGGGAAACCCUGAUCCAGCCAUCCCGCGUGUGCGAUGAAGGCCUUCGGGUUGUAAAGCACUUUUGGCAGGAAAGAAACGUCGCGGGUUAAUACCCCGCGAAACUGACGGUACCUGCAGAAUAAGCACCGGCUAACUACGUGCCAGCAGCCGCGGUAAUACGUAGGGUGCAAGCGUUAAUCGGAAUUACUGGGCGUAAAGCGUGCGCAGGCGGUUCGGAAAGAAAGAUGUGAAAUCUCAGAGCUUAACUUUGGAACUGCAUUUUUAACUACCGGGCUAGAGUGUGUCAGAGGGAGGUGGAAUUCCGCGUGUAGCAGUGAAAUGCGUAGAUAUGCGGAGGAACACCGAUGGCGAAGGCAGCCUCCUGGGAUAACACUGACGCUCAUGCACGAAAGCGUGGGGAGCAAACAGGAUUAGAUACCCUGGUAGUCCACGCCCUAAACGAUGUCAACUAGCUGUUGGGGCCUUCGGGCCUUGGUAGCGCAGCUAACGCGUGAAGUUGACCGCCUGGGGGAGUACGGUCGCAAGAUUAAAACUCAAAUGAAUUGACGGGGGUCAUAGCGUU
rnacentral:rRNA from 1 species